UACGAAGGGGGCUAGCGUUGCUCGGAAUCACUGGGCGUAAAGCGCACGUAGGCGGCUUCUUAAGUCAGGGGUGAAAUCCUGGAGCUCAACUCCAGAACUGCCUUUGAUACUGAGAAGACUUGAGUCCGGGAGAGGUGAGUGGAACUGCGAGUGUAGAGGUGAAAUUCGUAGAUAUUCGCAAGAACACCAGUGGCGAAGGCGGACUCACUGGCC
rnacentral:rRNA from 1 species